rnacentral:rRNA from 1 species
UGGGGAAUCUUGGACAAUGGGCGCAAGCCUGAUCCAGCCAUGCCGCGUGAGUGAAGAAGGCCUUCGGGUUGUAAAGCUCUUUUUACCGGGGACGAUAAUGACGGUACCUGGAGAAUAAGCCCCGGCAAACUUCGUGCCAGCAGCCGCGGUAAUACGAAGGGGGCUAGCGUUGUUCGGAAUUACUGGGCGUAAAGCGCACGUAGGCGGAUUGUUAAGUCAGAGGUGAAAUCCCGGAGCUCAACUUCGGAACUGCCUUUGAUACUGGCAAUCUAGAGUCCGGAAGAGGUUAGUGGAAUUCCCAGUGUAGAGGUGAAAUUCGUAGAUAUUGGGAAGAACACCAGUGGCGAAGGCGGCUAACUGGUCCGGUACUGACGCUGAGGUGCGAAAGCGUGGGGAGCAAACAGGAUUAGAUACCCCCGUAGUCCCUGAGCGGGCUGGCAAGGCGCAU